rnacentral:piRNA from 1 species
UUACAAGCUGUGGUGGCUAUGGUGAA